CAGUCGCCGCGGUAAUACGAAGGGGGCUAGCGUUGUUCGGAAUUACUGGGCGUAAAGGGCGCGUAGGCGGCCAUUCAAGUUAGAUGUGAAAGCCCUGGGCUCAACCUAGGAAUUGCAUUUGAUACUGUUUGGCUUGAGUUCGGGAGAGGUGAGUGGAAUUCCCAGUGUAGAGGUGAAAUUCGUAGAUAUUGGGAAGAACACCAGUGGCGAAGGCGGCUCACUGGACCGACACUGACGCUGAGGCGCGAAAGCGUGGGGAGCAAACAGGAUUAGAUACCCCCGUAGUCCAUGUCUCUUAUCC
rnacentral:rRNA from 1 species